rnacentral:tRNA from 1 species
GGGGUUGUGGCUCAGUGGCAGAACACUUGCUUAGCAUGCAUGAGGCACUGGGUUCAAUUCCCAGCACCACA